rnacentral:rRNA from 1 species
CUGACUGACCGAUAGUGAACCAGUACCGUGAGGGAAAGGCGAAAAGAACCCCGGCGAGGGGAGUGAAAAAGAACCUGAAACCGUGUACGUACAAGCAGUGGGAGCACCCUUUUGGGUGUGACUGCGUACCUUUUGUAUAAUGGGUCAGCGACUUAUAUUCUGUAGCAAGGUUAACCGUAUAGGGGAGCCGUAGGGAAACCGAGUCUUAACCGGGCGUUAAGUUGCAGGGUAUAGACCCGAAACCCGGUGAUCUAGCCAUGGGCAGGUUGAAGGUUGGGUAACACUAACUGGAGGACCGAACCGACUAAUGUUGAAAAAUUAGCGGAUGACCUGUGGCUGGGGGUGAAAGGCCAAUCAAACCGGGAGAUAGCUGGUUCUCCCCGAAAGCUAUUUAGGUAGCGCCUCGUGAAUUCAUCUCCGGGGGUAGAGCACUGUUUCGGCUAGGGGGCCAUCCCGGCUUACCAACCCGAUGCAAACUGCGAAUACCGGAGAAUGUUAUCACGGGAGACACACGGCGGGUGCUAACGUCCGUCGUGAAGAGGGAAACAACCCAGACCGCCAGCUAAGGUCCCAAAGUCAUGGUUAAGUGGGAAACGAUGUGGGAAGGCCCAGACAGCCAGGAUGUUGGCUUAGAAGCAGCCAUCAUUUAAAGAAAGCGUAAUAGCUCACUGGUCGAGUCGGCCUGCGCGGAAGAUGUAACGGGGCUAAACCAUGCACCGAAGCUGCGGCAGCGACGCUUAUGCGUUGUUGGGUAGGGGAGCGUUCUGUAAGCCUGUGAAGGUGGCCUGUGAGGGUUGCUGGAGGUAUCAGAAGUGCGAAUG